rnacentral:rRNA from 1 species
GAUGAACGCUGGCGGCGUGCCUAAUACAUGCAAGUCGAGCGAACAGACGAGGAGCUUGCUCCUCUGACGUUAGCGGCGGACGGGUGAGUAACACGUGGAUAACCUACCUAUAAGACUGGGAUAACUUCGGGAAACCGGAGCUAAUACCGGAUAAUAUAUUGAACCGCAUGGUUCAAUAGUGAAAGACGGUUUUGCUGUCACUUAUAGAUGGAUCCGCGCCGCAUUAGCUAGUUGGUAAGGUAACGGCUUACCAAGGCGACGAUGCGUAGCCGACCUGAGAGGGUGAUCGGCCACACUGGAACUGAGACACGGUCCAGCCUCCUACGGGAGGCAGCAGUAGGGAAUCUUCCGCAAUGGGCGAAAGCCUGACGGAGCAACGCCGCGUGAGUGAUGAAGGUCUUCGGAUCGUAAAACUCUGUUAUUAGGGAAGAACAAAUGUGUAAGUAACUAUGCACGUCUUGACGGUACCUAAUCAGAAAGCCACGGCUAACUACGUG